AUCCAUGUAGCGCAAUGGAUAGGGUGUUGGAUUUCUAAUCCAAAGGUCGUGGGUUCGAAUCCCACCUGGGAUG
rnacentral:tRNA from 1 species